UACGAAGGGAGCUAGCGUUGUUCGGAAUUACUGGGCGUAAAGAGCGUGUAGGCGGUAUAUCAAGUUGGGAGUGAAAUCCCGAGGCUUAACCUCGGAACUGCUUUCAAAACUGGUAUACUCGAGUUCGGUAGAGGAUAGUGGAAUUCCUAGUGUAGAGGUGAAAUUCUUAGAUAUUAGGAGGAACACCGGUGGCGAAAGCGACUAGCUGGGCCGAUACUGACGCUGAGACGCGAAAGCGUGGGGAGCAAACAGG
rnacentral:misc_RNA from 1 species